rnacentral:rRNA from 1 species
ACAGCAGCCGCCACGGGAAUACGUAGGUGGCAAGCGUUGUCCGGAAUUAUUGGGCGUAAAGGGCUCGCAGGCGGUUUCUUAAGUCUGAUGUGAAAGCCCCCGGCUCAACCGGGGAGGGUCAUUGGAAACUGGGAAACUUGAGUGCAGAAGAGGAGAGUGGAAUUCCACGUGUAGCGGUGAAAUGCGUAGAGAUGUGGAGGAACACCAGUGGCGAAGGCGACUCUCUGGUCUGUAACUGACGCUGAGGCGCGAAAGCGUGGGGAGCAAACAGGAUUAGAUACCCGCGUAGUCCCUGUCUCUUAUAC